UUCUUAUCCAGAGUGGCGGAGGGACUGGCCCUGUGAAGCCCGACAACCAGCAUUUUUCAUUUGAAUGUAUGGUGUUAAUUCCAGCAGGUAAAACCUGAAAGAUGAGAA
rnacentral:ncRNA from 2 species